rnacentral:rRNA from 1 species
UACGUAGGGGGCAAGCGUUGUCCGGAAUCAUUGGGCGUAAAGAGCGCGUAGGCGGCCCUGUAAGUCCGCUGUGAAAGUCAAGGGCUCAACCCUUGAAUGCCGGUGGAUACUGCAGGGCUAGAGUCCGGAAGAGGAGAGUGGAAUUCCUGGUGUAGCGGUGAAAUGCGCAGAUAUCAGGAAGAACACCAUGGCGAAGGCAGCUCUCUGGGACGGUACUGACACUGAGACGCGAAAGCGUGGGGAGCGAACGAG